rnacentral:lncRNA from 1 species
AGUAGGUCUGAGUGCAAGUUGACCUAAUUUGAUUAGAUUCCUUCUAAUCGAUUAAGGUCCAAAAUGAGCUAACCCGAGUUCAACAAUUAGAAUCCUUUCUAAUUGGCGAUUGAAUUAAAUUCUUUAAUUUGAUCAAACUUACAAGUCAAAAUUGACUUAUAUCAAUGUAUCAUGACUAUCCAGAAAAUAUAAACCUUGAUGAAAAUAUAAACAUGCCCUA